rnacentral:sRNA from 1 species
CAGAACAGAGACAGCACAGACAGAAGCAGUGCAAGCUUCCCUCAUGCUUUCCCCCAGGUGGUUCAGUUCUG